rnacentral:rRNA from 1 species
ACUAAGCGUACACGGUGGAUGCCCUGGCAGUCAGAGGCGAUGAAGGACGUGCUAAUCUGCGAAAAGCGUCGGUAAGGUGAUAUGAACCGUUAUAGCCGGCGAUGUCCGAAUGGGGAAACCCAGUGCAAUUCGUUGCACUAUCGUUAACUGAAUACAUAGGUUAACGAGGCGAACCGGGGGAACUGAAACAUCUAAGUACCCCGAGGAAAAGAAAUCAACCGAGAUUCCCCCAGUAGCGGCGAGCGAACGGGGAGCAGCCCAGAGUCUGAAUCAGCUUGUGUGUUAGUGGAACGGUCUGGAAAGUCCGACGGUACAGGGUGAUAGUCCCGUACACCAAAAUGCACAGGCUGUGAACUCGAAGAGUAGGGCGGGACACGUGGUAUCCUGUCUGAAUAUGGGGGGACCAUCCUCCAAGGCUAAAUACUCCUGACUGACCGAUAGUGAACCAGUACCGUGAGGGAAAGGCGAAAAGAACCCCGGCGAGGGGAGUGAAAAAGAACCUGAAACCGUGUACGUACAAGCAGUGGGAGCACCUUCGGGUGUGACUGCGUACCUUUUGUAUAAUGGGUCAGCGACUUAUAUUCUGUAGCAAGGUUAACCGUAUAGGGGAGCCGCAGGGAAACCGAGUCUUAACUGGGCGUUAAGUUGCAGGGUAUAGACCCGAAACCCGGUGAUCUAGCCAUGGGCAGGUUGAAGGUUGGGUAACACUAACUGGAGGACCGAACCGACUAAUGUUGAAAAAUUAGCGGAUGACUUGUGGCUGGGGGUGAAAGGCCAAUCAAACCGGGAGAUAGCUGGUUCUCCCCGAAAGCUAUUUAGGUAGCGCCUCGUGAAUUCAUCUUCGGGGGUAGAGCACUGUUUCGGCUAGGGGGUCAUCCCGACUUACCAACCCGAUGCAAACUACGAAUACCGAAGAAUGUUAUCACGGGAGACACACGGCGGGUGCUAACGUCCGUCGUGAAGAGGGAAACAACCCAGACCGCCAGCUAAGGUCCCAAAGUCAUGGUUAAGUGGGAAACGAUGUGGGAAGGCACAGACAGCCAGGAUGUUGGCUUAGAAGCAGCCAUCAUUUAAAGAAAGCGUAAUAGCUCACUGGUCGAGUCGGCCUGCGCGGAAGAUGUAACGGGGCUAAACCAUGCACCGAAGCUGCGGCAGCGACACUAUGUGUUGUUGGGUAGGGGAGCGUUCUGUAAGCCUGCGAAGGUGACCUGUGAGGCAUGCUGGAGGUAUCAGAAGUGCGAAUGCUGACAUAAGUAACGAUAAAGCGGGUGAAAAGCCCGCUCGCCGGAAGACCAAGGGUUCCUGUCCAACGUUAAUCGGGGCAGGGUGAGUCGACCCCUAAGGCGAGGCCGAAAGGCGUAGUCGAUGGGAAACAGGUUAAUAUUCCUGUACUUGGUGUUACUGCGAAGGGGGGACGGAGAAGGCUAUGUUAGCCGGGCGACGGUUGUCCCGGUUUAAGCAUGUAGGCUGGUUAUCCAGGCAAAUCCGGAUAAUCAAGGCUGAGGUGUGAUGACGAGGCACUACGGUGCUGAAGUAACAAAUGCCCUGCUUCCAGGAAAAGCCUCUAAGCAUCAGGUAACAUCAAAUCGUACCCCAAACCGACACAGGUGGUCAGGUAGAGAAUACCAAGGCGCUUGAGAGAACUCGGGUGAAGGAACUAGGCAAAAUGGUGCCGUAACUUCGGGAGAAGGCACGCUGGUGUGUAGGUGAAGUCCCUGCGGAUGGAGCUGAGACCAGUCGAAGAUACCAGCUGGCUGCAACUGUUUAUUAAAAACACAGCACUGUGCAAACACGAAAGUGGACGUAUACGGUGUGACGCCUGCCCGGUGCCGGAAGGUUAAUUGAUGGGGUUAUCCGUAAGGAGAAGCUCUUGAUCGAAGCCCCGGUAAACGGCGGCCGUAACUAUAACGGUCCUAAGGUAGCGAAAUUCCUUGUCGGGUAAGUUCCGACCUGCACGAAUGGCGUAAUGAUGGCCAGGCUGUCUCCACCCGAGACUCAGUGAAAUUGAACUCGCUGUGAAGAUGCAGUGUACCCGCGGCAAGACGGAAAGACCCCGUGAACCUUUACUAUAGCUUGACACUGAACAUUGAGCCUUGAUGUGUAGGAUAGGUGGGAGGCUUUGAAGCGUGGACGCCAGUCUGCGUGGAGCCAACCUUGAAAUACCACCCUUUAAUGUUUGAUGUUCUAACGUUGGCCCCUGACCGGGGUUGCGGACAGUGUCUGGUGGGUAGUUUGACUGGGGCGGUCUCCUCCCAAAGCGUAACGGAGGAGCACGAAGGUUAGCUAAUCCUGGUCGGACAUCAGGAGGUUAGUGCAAUGGCAUAAGCUAGCUUGACUGCGAGCGUGACGGCGCGAGCAGGUGCGAAAGCAGGUCAUAGUGAUCCGGUGGUUCUGAAUGGAAGGGCCAUCGCUCAACGGAUAAAAGGUACUCCGGGGAUAACAGGCUGAUACCGCCCAAGAGUUCAUAUCGACGGCGGUGUUUGGCACCUCGAUGUCGGCUCAUCACAUCCUGGGGCUGAAGUAGGUCCCAAGGGUAUGGCUGUUCGCCAUUUAAAGUGGUACGCGAGCUGGGUUUAGAACGUCGUGAGACAGUUCGGUCCCUAUCUGCCGUGGGCGCUGGAGAAUUGAGGGGGGCUGCUCCUAGUACGAGAGGACCGGAGUGGACGCAUCACUGGUGUUCGGGUUGUCAUGCCAAUGGCACUGCCCGGUAGCUAAAUGCGGAAGAGAUAAGUGCUGAAAGCAUCUAAGCACGAAACUUGCCCCGAGAUGAGUUCUCCCUGAGACUUUAAGUCUCCUGAAGGAACGUUAAAGACGAUGACGUUGAUAGGCCGGGUGUGUAAGCGCAGCGAUGCGUUGAGCUAACCGGUACUAAUGAACCGUGAGGCUUAACC